UACUCUAGGCACAAGGCCCGCCAUUUUGGGGGAGGGGGCCAGUCGAUUAGAUCGACACCAGUACGCUACUGGUACUUAAUUUAUCGACCUCGAAAGGGUGAAAGGCAAAGUCGACCUCGAAAGGAUGAAAAGCAAAGUCGACCUCGGCGGAAUUUGAAUUCAGAACGUAAAGACAGACGAAAUAUAUUUUCUACUCUAGGCAUAAGGCCCGAAAUAUUUGUGGAGGGGGUGGGCAGUCGAUUAGAUCGAUUACAGUAUGUAACUGGUACUUAAUUUAUCGACCCCGAAAGGAUGACAGGCAAAGUCGACCUCGGCCGAAUUUGAACUCAGAACGUAAAGACAGACGAAAUGUAUUGAAUGAUGUAAUCGAAACGAAAAUGUUAAGUAGUUGUACUGUAAUUGCUACCAUAGCAACAGAUAGGUUUUCUUGACGUUCACAAACACCCAGAAAGACACUUAGAUAUCUAAACGGCAUGAAAGAAAAAGUACGUGUACCUGCUGACUGUUUCCUGUUCUGUUGUUUAUGCAGUGGUAAUUGCAACUCUAAAACGGUAACAAACCAAAAACAGUGCAAUUCUCCGAAGACAACCAGGGCUAGGACUAUUAUUAUAUAUAACAGCUUCAAUUGGAAAUCCGUCCUUCAGUCUCGAUUUAAUGAUAACAACAAGGAACAGCCACUCAUCACUCCCGAGAUGAUUAGUCACAUACUGACCUAAGACAGGAAUUAUGACUGACCCUAGAUCUGGGGCAAAAUAAUUGUUUCAAAUUUUAGUACAAGGCCAGCAAUUUUAGGGGAGGGAGAUAGUUGGUUACAUUGACCCUAAUACUCAACUGGUACUUAUUUUAUCGACCUCGAAAGGACGAAAAGUAAAGUCGACCUCAAUGAAAUUUGAACUCAUAACGUACAGAACCGAAAGAAAUACCGCUAAGGAUUUUGUUUAACGCUUUAGAGAUUCUGCCAACUCGCCGUCCUUAAUCUGGCAAAAUAAUAAAGAUGUUUCCACCAGA